rnacentral:tRNA from 1 species
CGGAGUAUAGCGCAGUCUGGUAGCGCAACUGGUUUGGGACCAGUGGGUCGGGGGUUCGAAUCCCUCUACUCCGACCA